GGAGGUUGGAAUCCGUCCUCGGCGGGGAGCGAAUGGAGGGAUCCGUUCUCGGCAGCGAGGGAACAAGGGGUCUGUCCUCGGCGGGGCGGGAGGUUAGGGGAACGGCCCGAGCCCCUCCUCGCCGCCCCCUGCGGCCGGGCCGACCGCACCAGGGUCGCGGGCUGGGCGCGUGGGCCGCGGGAAGCUGGCGGCGCGGGGGCGCGAGCUCGGAACGUGCGAGUGGAGCAGCCGCUUCCAACUCCUGGAAAGGUUUUUUCAGUCGAAUGGCGUUAGGACAAUUGGCUGGCCAUUUGGAAAAAUAGAAGUUGGCUCCCUCCCUCACUUCUUAACACCAAAAUAAAAUCCAGAUGAACCAAACAUUCAAAUCUAAAAGGAAACAAAAAAACGUACUGGAGAGUUGGUGAAUGUUUUCUAGUCUGAGUUAUCACGAUAAACCUGGAGAUGCUGAAGGAAAAGAAUAACUUGACUACAUACAAAUUUAAAGUGUAUUAAAAUUAAGACGCAAACCGAGGGAAAAGCGUGACCCUUUUUUGAAAUUGUCUAAUUCCUGUAGUUAUGAAAUCGUCCGCAACAAAUAAGAAAAAGACAACAGUCUAAUGGAAAAAGCGGCAAGGACACCAGUAGGCGAUUCACAGAAGAAAUGCUACUCAAACUUAGACAAGAUUGCCUGACCUAUCCAAUCAUUAGAGAAGUGCACAUUAAAAUGAGAAUAUCUUCACCUGUCGCAUUAUCAAACAUUUAAAAAAUUGAUCACACACAUUGAAGAUGGGAGGGAACUGGCAAUUUGUAGGAGAGGCUUUUUGGAAGCCAACAAAAUGAAAACAGAAAUCACACCCAGCAGCUCCUUUUCCAAGAUUGGAAUUGCGUUGACUAGAUGGGGCUGGGAAAGCUGAUGUGACAACACUCAGUGUUCCUGUGCGUCUCUUAUUUUCAGGCACUUUGCUUUGGAAUCUCUUGAUUACAGCAAUGUAGCCAUGCUCAGACUGACAGAUGGGACAGGCCAGGUGUGACCCUUGUUCCCCACCCUCCCCUUGAUCUUCUCCCCCUGCCUCCUUUCUGUGUCACAUGCAGUGGGCACAGGGCUGAAGAGGCAGGUGUCUGAGCCCAGGCCUCCUCUCCACCUCCCACAGGGCUCCCAGCUGCCCUCCUGGGUCCCAGGACACGCACUCCGCAGCCAGGAGGCCUGGGUUGUGGCUCCUCUCUCAUCACCCUGCACUCUUUUCUCCUCUGCCACCAGGAAUGGGGAGCUCCCCAGGCCUCUGUAAGGGGUCAGAGCUUAGUUCCCCAACUGUGGGUCCCGCCUCUCCUCAGGGAGCAGCUGUCUAUCCCUUAAAAUCAUUCCCUUUCCUCUUCAUGUCCUCUGUCUCUGCUGGCCAGGGCACCUGGGUUCCCUCCUGGGGAGGCAGAGGCAGCUUUUAAUUACCCAUCAUACCUGAAUAUUUAAAACACUGGGCAACUGGCAAAAAUGAGGGACACCAAGCCUUCUACAGGCCCGGGGAGGUUUUGUUAGGGGGGCGGUAGCUCUCACUGCCCACUGAGUGGAGGCCGGAGCACCAGUGGGCAAGGCCAUGGCCUUGAUGGGUGCUGUGCUCCUCUCCUGCCCUCCCUGGACCACCAGGUUACCGCCCAGCCAGUUGGGAAGCGGAGACCUCAGCCCUUUCUUUCCAGAAAACCUGGCUUGGGGUUCCCAGACACCCACAUCCCCAGCCUCUUGCUCCCCAUGCUGAGACCACCCCCCAAAAGUCAGAGAGGCUGCACAGAUGACCUCCUGGCUGGGCCCUUUCAGCUGCCCUGAGUGUGCACUGCGGCUGUCUCAUGCUGUGUUUUGGGUUAGUUUUACCCCGAUGUAUGAGCUUGCAUUUUUCCAAGAUGAAUCUCAUUGAGCUGUUUCCUGUUCCCACUUCCAGAUGGAAGAAAUCCCCGGGGGUGUUUUUCACUUGCAUGACCUUUGCAAACCUCCCCGUGGAGCGCCUUCUUUGAAGUUCACUUCAGUGCUGUUGCGCCUGUCCUUGGCCUGUGGAACCAGGAUUCUGCCCUGGCUCUGGGGCCUGCCUCUCCCAUUGUCCAGUCUCCUGCAGGCUGCUUGCCAGCAGCAUUCCGGAGAGCAUGUGGUCAGACUGCUGAUGCUGCUGGACUGGAGCUCCUGAGGGCUGCUGGCCCGGAUGCUGUUGCCUCUGGGGCGGGCCCUCGGCCUUCCUGAGCUACCCACCACAUCAUUGUGGGUUUGGGUUACCUGGUCUAUCAGUCAGCUCGGGCUGACAUAACAAAAUACCGCAGACGGUCGGUUUAAACAACAGAAACUUACUUCUCACAGUUCUGGAGGCUGGAAGUCCAGGCCAAGGUGCCGGCAAGGACUUGCUUGGACCAACAGAGUGUAGCAGAAGCGACAUGGCGGGACCUGUGGGCUUAGCCUGAAGAGGACUGGCAGCUUCGAGCUCUGUGCUCCUGAAGGCAGCUGCCAUGGCAAGAAGCUCGGGCUCACCUAUGGGUGAUGAGAGGCCACAUGAAGAGAGAACCGAGGUGCCAGGGUGAGUCCAGCUUCCUGCUGACCGCCAUUGCGUGGGAUGGCACGUAGCCGGUGGAACGGUGAGCUCACAGAAUCAUGAGGAAUAAUCUGUCACCGCUGCUUUAAGCCGUUCAGCUUUGGGGCAGUUUGUUACACAGCAACAGAUAACGAAGCAAUGUCCAUCCAUGACAAGACAAGACAGGGACCUGUGUGGCUGGCGCAGAGCAAGCAGGGAAGGGGCAGAAAGUGAGGCCCCUUGGCCACUGAAAGGCCUUUGACUUCCACCCGGCAGAGAGGAGAGGCUUGGAGCAGAGGUGGGACGACCCGCUCAGCUUGCACAGACUCCCUGCCGCUGUCUGGAGAGCAGACUGAGGGGCAAGGGCAGAGCCAGGAGACCCCUCUGAGAGGCCUCUGCACUCAUCCAGGUUGUCACCUGUGCUCCUGACGGCCCGGCUAUAAAUUGGGGUUCCCAUAAACCCCUCCUCGAAUUUGAUAAUUUGUUAGAACGGCUCAUGGGACUCAGGAAAACAGUUUACUCACCAGAUUACCAGCUCAUCACAAAGGAUGUUAAAGGAUAUGAAUGAACAGCUAGAUGAAGAGAUACAUAGGGCGAGAUCCGGAAGGGUCCCAAGCGCAGGAGCUUCUGUCCCCGUGGAGCUGGGGUGCGCCACCCUCACAUGGAAGUGUUCACCAACCAGAAGCUCUCUGAACCCAUACUUUAGGGAUUUUUGGGGAGGCUCCCUCAUGCAGGUGUGAUCCAUCAUCAACUCUGGCUCCGGCUCCUCUCCCUUCGCCAGAGGAUGGGGGCUGGGCUGAAAGGUCCAACCUCCUAAUCCCAGCGCGGUCUGGUGACCAGCCCCCAUCCAGGAGCCAUCCAGGAGCCCACCCAGAAUCGCCUCAUUAGAACAAAAGAUGUUCCUUUCAUCCAGGAAAUUCCGGGGUUUUAGGAGUUCUGUGUCAGGGACCCAGAGGCAGAGACCAGUAUGUAUAUUUCCUAUUAUUUCACAGACACGACCCAGGAAGCCUGGCUCCAUCACAGAUCUGAUCUGUGCACUUCCAGAAACCUGGACGAGUAUGUGACAAACUGCUACUUGUUCUCUCUGGGAGGUGGGAUGGUCUGAAAUUCAAUAAAA